rnacentral:lncRNA from 1 species
CUGGUCUCGAACUGCUGACCUCAGGUGAUCCACCCGCCUCUGCCUUCCAAAGUGCUGGGAUUACAGGUGUGAGCCACCGCACCAGGCCGCAUGAAUAUCUUUAUUCAUGAGCCUGGAUCCCUAAGAAUGAGGGUGCCUCUGACUAUUCUUAAUUCGUUCAGCAGUCACAUUCAUCGCACAACACCCAAAGACAUAUUUGGUCUGCAGUUCGCACCUAUUCCUCUGGAGCUUUGAACAGUUAAUAAACAUUAGCUCGUUAGCAUUAAUUAAAAGGCAUCUUAUUACAGCAGGAUCCAGAGUUACCACCUAGCCACUCUAAAAACCAGCGGUCGGCUUGACUUCCAGCAAAGCCUCUUUUAUCGAUGGCUUCUGUGGGUGUAGUUAACCUCCGCCGUCCCCCGUCUGAUCUCAUUAUUUCAGAUCCUCGCAUCCUGGCUGGCUUUGCCUUCUCUCUCUCCUCGAUCCUCCCUUUACAUAAAUGCGAUUGUUUCGUUGCUUCCUUCCUCGGAGCCCGGGUUUUGUCCGGGCUUGGCUCGGUUUGCGCGUUUAAGAACGAGCGCCUAGGCCUCCGGGCAAGGGUCUAGAGCUCCCGCAGCCCUUCACUGGGUGACCUCCUCCUGUCGGGGCCAUUUGUCUUCAGGGCCUCUCUUUGAGGCUCUGAACAGGACGCUCCAAGUGGGGCCCGAGCGCUUGGCAGACAAGCCCCUGGAUUGUUGCUAGAGACCCUCAGGUCGCCUUGGGGCGGAGCGCGCCUUUCAUGAAUCCGGGAGCCUGGGAUGCGCAUGGCGAGGAGGGGGGAAACGUGCUGGGGAGAAGGCAGGCCUUGAUGUACGCCCUGGUGGACAAAAGCUGCUAGUGUCAGCUUGAUUUGCAAGAUCAACAUUCAUGAGUUUCACCGCUUAGAAAGGGGCAUUAUCUGCAAACCGGAGACUGAAUGGAAGCCAUAAACAAGUGAUUUCACACUACCAAGCAGGAAGAAUAUUCUACCUCCUCAAUUAUUCUGAACAGCAUGUUUGGCCCCUUCCAGGUUCCCACCGCUAGCGAGCCCUCCACCCCUGGUGUGUGCAAACGGUGGACCUUUCGGCGCCUAAGAAACCGGGUGCUGAGCCCGGGAGCAGCGCCUGCUUUUCUUCCCAAGAUCCACUCCGGGUUUUGCCUAGCGCUGCUCCGGGAACCCAUUCCAGACGCAGCAUGGACACAGAAGGAUUCUGAAAUGAUUUUAGAUAUUUCGUGGUAUUGAGCAAAUCAGUAAACACAUUGUUGUUGAGAUCCAGAGUUCUCACUGUGGAGAAGAAAGUUACAAAUACAGAAAGAGAGAAGACAUGGAUGUAAGAAGAAUGGACUGCAAUUGGAGAUUGCCUUUUGGUUGCAAGGGGAACAAUAAUAAUUACACAGUGCAGAAAUCAGAUACCCCUUUGACUAGUGACUGAAAUGAACAUCACCAAUAAAGGACAGACAGACAUCAUGUGCCUCUGGAUACGAUGCCCCAAAGAGGAGGUAAUACUACUCUUGUACUAUUUGACUGGAAAUGCAUAGCCUGAGUUUAAUGAUGAGGAAGCGUUAUAGAAGCCCCAAACAAGGAACAUUCCAUCUUACAAACAGGAACUGUUUUUAACAUGUCAGUGUCAUAAAGAAGAAAAAAAUCUAAAGAGAUAUGUCAACUCACUACGAUAUAUGAUUUUAGACUGAAUCCUGUACUGAAAAAACAUUACUGUGUCUGAUAGGCAGCCACUAAAAUGGUCCCACUUCCAGAUAUUUGCCCCUCUGUAUAAUCAUUUCCCUUGAAUGUAGGCUGAACUAACGACUUACUGACUUGCUUUUAAUGAAUAGAAGAUGGUAGAAGUAAUAGAAUGUCAC